rnacentral:rRNA from 1 species
AGCGAACGCUGGCGGCAGGCCUAACACAUGCAAGUCGAACGGACCCUUCGGGGUUAGUGGCGGACGGGUGAGUAACACGUGGGAACGUGCCCUUUGGUUCGGAACAACUCAGGGAAACUUGAGCUAAUACCGAAUGUGCCCUUUGGGGGAAAGAUUUAUCGCCAUUGGAGCGGCCCGCGUCUGAUUAGCUAGUUGGUGGGGUAAUGGCCUACCAAGGCUACGAUCAGUAGCUGGUCUGAGAGGAUGAUCAGCCACAUUGGGACUGAGACACGGCCCAAACUCCUACGGGAGGCGGCAGUGGGGAAUCUUGCGCAAUGGGCGAAAGCUUGACGCAGCCAUGCCGCGUGAAUGAUGAAGGUCUUAGGAUUGUAAAAUUCUUUCACCGGGGACGAUAAUGACGGUACCCGGAGAAGAAGCCCCGGCUAACUUCGUGCCAGCCGCCGCAGUAAGAC